rnacentral:lncRNA from 1 species
AGGUCAAGUUCAAUAAUGGCGAUUUUGACUUUUACCGUUCAGGAGUUAUGGUUCUUGAAAGAUUGGAAAAUGGAGUUGUCCGUGCAUUUACGCAUGAACUGUUCUACCAAAGCUUCCCAAAUUUUAAUAUGUUGUUACUAAUGAAAGAAUGGAGGUCAAGUUCAAUAAUGACGAAUUUGACUUUUACCGUUCAGGAGUUAUGGUUCUUGAAAGAUUGAAAAAUGGAGUUUCCAGUCGUGUCAGUGCAUUUAUGCAUGAACUGUUCUACCAAAGCUUCCGAAAUUUUAAUAUGCUGUUACUGAUGACAAAUGGAGGUCAAGUUCAAUAAUGACGAUUUUGACUUUUACCGUUCAGGAGUUAUGGUUCUUGAAAGAUUGAAAAAUGGUUUUUCCCGUCGUGUCCGUGCAUUUUCUCAUGAACCAUUCAACCAAAGCUUUUGAAAUUUUAAUAUGUUGUUACUGAUGACAAAAUAGAGGUCAAGUUCAAUAAUGACGAUUUUGACUUUUACCGUUCAGGAGUUAUGGUUCUUGAAAGAUUGUAAAAUGGCGUUUCCAUUCAGGUUGUUGCAUUUACUCAUGAACCAUUCAAUCUAAGCUUUUCAAAUUUUAAUAUGUUGAUACUGAUGACAAAAUGGAGGUCAAAUUUGAUAUUGACGAUUUUCACUUUCACCAUUCAUCAGUAAUGGUUCUUGUGAUAUAGCCAGGAC